rnacentral:rRNA from 1 species
AACGAACGCUGGCGGCAGGCCUAACACAUGCAAGUCGAGCGCCCCGCAAGGGGAGCGGCGGACGGGUGAGUAACGCGUGGGAACGUACCCUUUGCUACGGAAUAGCCUCGGGAAACUGGGAGUAAUACCGUAUGUGUCCUCCGGGAGAAAGAUUUAUCGGCAAGGGAUCGGCCCGCGUUGGAUUAGGUGGUUGGUGGGGUAAUGGCCUACCAAGCCGACGAGCCAUAGCUGGUUUGAGAGGAUGAUCAGCCACACUGGGACUGAGACACGGCCCAGACUCCUACGGGAGGCAGGAGUGGGGAAUCUUAGACAAGGGGCGCAAGCCUGAUCUAGCCAUGCCGCGUGAGCGAUGAAGGCCUUAGGGUUGUAAAGCUCUUUCAGGGGGGAAGAUAAUGACUGUACCCCCAGAAGAAGCCCCGGCUAACUCCGUG